UUUUCCUACGGGGCGCAGCAGUGGGGAAUAUUGCACAAUGGGGGAAACCCUGAUGCAGCGACGCCGCGUGAGUGAAGAAGUAUUUCGGUAUGUAAAGCUCUAUCAGCAGGAACGAGACAAGACGGUACCUGACUAAGAAGCCCCGGCUAACUACGUGCCAGCAGCCGCGGUAAUACGUAUGGGGCAAGCGUUAUCCGGAUUUACUGGGUGUAAAGGGAGCGUAGGCGGCCUGGCAAGCCUGAUGUGAAAUACCGGGGCCCAACCCCGGGGCUGCAUUGGGAACUGCCAGGCUGGAGUGCCGGAGG
rnacentral:rRNA from 1 species